rnacentral:rRNA from 1 species
UUAGCGGCGGACGGGUGAGUAACGCGUGGGUAACCUGCCUUAUACAGGGGGAUAACAGUUAGAAAUGACUGCUAAUACCGCAUAAGCGCACGGGAACGCAUGUUUCUGUGUGAAAAACUGAGGUAGUAUAAGAUGGACCCGCGUCUGAUUAGCUAGUUGGUGGGGUAACGGCCUACCAAGGCGACGAUCAGUAGCCGGCCUGAGAGAGUGACCGGCCACAUUGGGACUGAGACACGGCCCAAACUCCUACGGAAGGCAGCAG